AAAGCUCUUCUCAUAAACCUGUCUCCUUUUAUACAGGAACAAAAAUCUGUCCCCAGAGUCUGUCUACUUCACAUCUGUUUGGGGAGAAGGGGGCCUCCUGACCUCUCUGAGCAGCAAGGGGGUGCUGGAAAAGGGAAUGUUUUGCUUUGUCACCACUAACAAGUUCUUUUUCUUUCUUUCCCUUCUAUUCUGUUCACAGAAGUCAUUGCCUGCCAACAGCCUACCACAGUCUUGGGAAUGAACUCUGACAAACUUACCAUCAGGACCGCCGAUGCAUCCCAUCGAGGAUGGAAGAACGGGGCUCCAAACUUUGUUACACUCUUCUUGAAAGCAGGUAUUCCUGGUUUCUUUUUGUUUGGGUUACCUUGGAAGGUGACCAACUUCUUGAAAUGCUGGCCCUUCAGGAUUUGGCC
rnacentral:lncRNA from 1 species